rnacentral:rRNA from 1 species
GUUUGAUCUUAAUGAUUGGAACGCUGGCGGAUGUUUCAUACAUGCAAGUCGAACGGCAGCACGGAUUUCGGUCUGCGUUGAGCAUAACUGUGAGUAAUGUAUCGGAACGUGCCUAGUAGCGGGGAUAACGCAAAGAAAGGUAGCUAAUACUCAGCAUGGCUGGCCUCGGGAGCGACCAUCUUCGCAUCGGUUAGAGUGUGCCGAUAUCGGAUUAUUAGUUGCGGUAAAAUGUCACCAAGGCGACGGAUCCCGUAGCUGGCUGAGGACGACCAGCCAACAUCGGGAUCGAGACAUACCGGAGACUACGGAGUGCAGGCAGGUGGGGAAUUUCGACAAUGGGGAAACCUGAUCCAGCCAUCUUUGGCGUGGGCAUAAGGCUUCGUUGUGUGGCGAAUUUUUGCAGAAGAACGGCACGGGAUAAUACCCCGUGCAACUCUGACGGAGAAUGGGGUGAAUAAGCACCAUAACUACGUGCCAGCAGCCGCGGUAAUACGUAGGGUGCAAGCGAAUUAGAAUUGAGCUUUGAAGCGCAGCGUGCGCGCAGGCGGUCUGAAAAUAGUGAUGGGGAAUCCCAGAGCUGAAUCUUGAACUGCAUUUUUAACUACCGAGCUAGAGUGUGUCAGAGGGGAGGGUAAAUUCGCGUGUAGAGAAAGAAAUGCGGUAGAUAUAUGGAGGAACACCGACGGCGAAGCAGCCUCCUGGGAUAACACUGACGCUCAUGCACGAAAGCGUAGAGCAACAGGAUUAGAUAGCCUGGUGGAAUCACGCCCAAACGAGGUUGUAACUAGCUGUUGGGGCCUUCGGCCUUGGUAGCGCAAAGCACUGGGCAGGAAGUUGACCGCCCGGGGAGUACGGUCGCAAGAUUGAAACCCAAAGGAAUUGACGGGGACCCGCACAAGCGGUGGAUGAUGUGGAUUAAUUCGAUGCAACGCGAAAAACCUUACCUACCCUUGACAUGUCUGGAAUCCCGAAGAGAUUUGGGAGUGCUCGCAAGAGAACCGGAACACAGGUGCUGCAUGGCUGUCGUCAGCUCGUGUCGUGAGAUGUUGGGUUAAGUCCCGCAACGAGCGCAACUCUGUCAUUAGUUGCUACGAAAGGGCACUCUAAUGAGACUGCCGGUGACAAACCGGAGGAAGGUGGGGGAUGACGUCAAGUCCUCAUGGCCUCGCAGGUAGGGCUUCACACGUCAUACAAUGGUCGGGACAGAGGGUCGCCAACCCUAGAGGGGGAGCCAAUCCCAGAAACCCGAUCGUAGUCCGGAUCGCAGUCUGCAACUCGACUGCGUGAAGUCGGAAUCGCCAGUAAUCGCGGAUCAGCAUGUCGCGGUGAAUACGUUCCUGGCCUUGUACACACCGCCCGUCACACCAUGGGAGUGGGUUUUACCAGAAGUAGUUAGCCUAACCGUAAGGAGGGCGAUUACCACGGUAGGAUUCAUGAUCAGGUGAAGUCGUAACAA